GGACAGCUAGGGACUUGCGUGUGUUCAGCGUUUAGUCUGCCUUGUGACAGGCACUUUAAGAACUUCAGGACUAAGUCUGUGGCCUGGAAUCUCCAUGCAGUUCCAGGCAGCCAUCUGUAUCAGAAAAAAAAGUACCAGAGCCUUCCCCUGUAACAAGGAGAAAGGCAUAUGAGAAAGCAGACAAAGCAAAGACCAAGGAGCAGAAACAGGGCAUUAUCAACCCAUUUCCUGCCUGCAGAGGAAUCAGAGCGUCUUUCCUUCAGUGUGUUCACGUAGCUGAGGGGCACACGAAAGCUGUGCUCUGCGUGGAUUCGACUGAUGACCUUCUCUUCACUGGAUCAAAAGAUCGUACUUGUAAAGUUUGGAAUCUCGUGACUGGACAGGAAAUUAUGUCAUUAGGGGUUCACCCUAACAACGUUGUGUCUGUAAAAUACUGUAAUUACACCAGUCUAGUCUUCACAGUGUCAACAUCUUAUAUUAAGGUGUGGGAUAUCAGAGAGUCAGCGAAGUGCAUUCGAACAUUAA
rnacentral:lncRNA from 1 species